rnacentral:rRNA from 1 species
AGCGAACGCUGGCGGCGUGCCUAACACAUGCAAGUCGAGCGAGAAAGAGGACUUCGGUCUUUUAGUACAGCGGCGAACGGGUGAGUAACACGUGGGCAAUCGUCCCCCGGAUGGGGAUAACCCAGCGAAAGUUGGGCUAAUACCCAAUAAGACCACGGAAAGUCAUUCCUGAGGUCAAAGGGUGCUUCUUUUGGGAGCAUCCGCUAGGGGAGGAGCCCGCGGCCUAUCAGCUUGUUGGUAGGGUAAUGGCCUACCAAGGCAAAGACGGGUAGCUGGUCUGAGAGGAUGACCAGCCACACGGGGACUGAGACACGGCCCCGACUCCUACGGGAGGCAGCAGUGGGGAAUAUUGGGCAAUGGGGGAAACCCUGACCCAGCGACGCCGCGUGGGUGAUGAAGGCCUUCGGGUCGUAAAGCCCUGUCAAGAGGAAAGAACGUCUUUAAGGCAAAGAGCCUUGAAGGAUGACGGUACCUCUGAAGGAAGCACCGGCCAACUCCGUGCCAGCAGCCGCGGUAA